rnacentral:rRNA from 1 species
GACAGAGGGUGCAAACGUUGUUCGGAAUUACUGGGCGUAAAGCGCGUGUAGGCUGCUUCGCAAGUCGGGUGUGAAAGCCCUGGGCUCAACCUAGGAAGUGCACUCGAAACUGCGAAGCUGGAGUCCUGGAGAGGAAGGCGGAAUUCUCGGUGUAGCGGUGAAAUGCGUAGAUAUCAGGAGGAACACCCGUGGUGCAGACGGCUUGCUGGACCGUGACUGACGCUGAGGCACGAAAGCGUGGGUAGCAAACAGG